rnacentral:rRNA from 1 species
UACGUAGGGUGCGAGCGUUGUCCGGAAUUAUUGGGCGUAAAGAGCUCGUAGGCGGUCUGUCGCGUCGAUCGUGAAAACUUGGGGCUUAACCCUGAGCUUGCGGUCGAUACGGGCAUGACUGGAGUUCGGCAGGGGAGACUGGAAUUCCUGGUGUAGCGGUGAAAUGCGCAGAUAUCAGGAGGAACACCGGUGGCGAAGGCGGCGACCUGGUCCUUGACUGACGCUGAGGCGCGAAAGCGUGGGGAGCAAACAGG